GGUUUUAUAAAAGGCAGUUCCCCUGCACACGUUCUCUUGCCUGCUGCCUUGUAAGACGUGCCUUUGCUCCUCCUUCACCUUCUACCAUGAUUGUGAGGCUUCUCCAGCCAUGUGGAACUGUGAUUCAUAAAUUACCCAGUCUCAGCCUGAGGACAGGUCGAGGACAAGCCUGACAUUCCAUCGAGACCCGUAGGAACUGGCCAAAGCCCAGCACCCAAGAGGAAACAUGGCUGGAAGAAGAGAUUGUGACAGGUCCAGGGAUGGCCAGGGACUCAGAUGCCUGUAUUCUUGCUCUACCAUUCCCAGCAUAAGAUGCUCCUGCAGCGAUUAUCACAUCUAUUCUGGACCUAGCUUCAAGGGAUGCCAGGAAAUGCAGUCUUUAAGUGCCUAUGUGUUUAGCUAAAAAUUAAGAAAGAAAAAGAUACAGAUAGAUAUUACAGAACAAUUUGUUUCUGCUACAUUGGGCAUGUGAUUUCUAGUAAUGUGUCCAUUGAAAUACAAUUAUGAAAAAGGUGUUGGUCCCUGUUCCUCCACUGUCAUCAUAACAUUAUGCAAAUACAUUUCUAUGUAUGUACCUAUUUCUAUGUAAUGUGCAUUUCUGUAGGUAUCUAAUGACAUCCGGAAAAAAUCUAAUGAAUUUUGAAGUACUUGAAUCUUUUCUAAAAUUUCUGAUAUCUGAGCCCAUUUUAUGAUUAUAAAAUGCAUUUUAUCUACUUUUGCUUCAUUGUUUAAUGUAAAUGAAAUAAUACAGAAAUAAAAUAUUUGGUUCACUUUAUGAGAGGUACAGCAUGAACAACCAAUUAAAAGUAGUUUCCAGGGAUCCUUUGCCAAGAAACAAACAAGUAAAAAUGAUCUCUAAGUAAAGAAAGGGAAUACUUGAAAGUCUUCUUUUUUUUUUUUUUUUUUUUUUGAGAUGGAAUCUCACUGUGUCACCCAGGCUGGAGUGCAAUGGUAUGAUCUCAGCUCACUGGUUCACUGCAACCUCCACCUCCCAGUUUAAAUGAUUCUCAUGCCUCAGCCUCCCAAGUAGCUGGGAUUAGAGGUGCCUGCCACCACACCUGACUCAUUUCUGUAUUUUGGUAGCGAUGGGGUUUCACCAUGUCGACCAGGCUGGUCUCGAACUCCUGACUUGAAGUGAUCCACCCACCUCAGCCUCCCAAAGUGCUGGAAUUACAGGAGUGAGCCAGCAUGCCCAGCUGAAAGUCUUCUUCAUUAAUACCUUUUAUCUCGAUAUCAUUUCAUGAGUUUAAAAUUUCAUCAUUAGCAGUUUAUUAAUUCUGAAAAAAGAAGCCUCUGAGGUACAUAUGGAAGAAAUUAUUAAGAUAUCUUACAGUUGAUGAAACUAAGACUGAGAGGUAAAUUAUUUACAUAUAUUACAUAACUAAUUGAGGAUAACUGUGGGUCUAGAACCGAG
rnacentral:lncRNA from 1 species